AUCGCUAUGCAAAUAAACAAAGAACCAUUCUAAUUGAAUAUUUAAAAAUAAUAAAUAUUACUUGCCAUUAGAAACAUGAACGACCAACACAUUCAAUGAUGUAAUGUUUUCUGCCUGGCACUGAUAUUCACCGUUAUCUGAUGAAGUCAGGUUAAUUAGUCUAAAUAUUUGAUUAAACUGCUGAACGUGACGGCCAUUGGGAACGAUCUGACGGUAAUCAGUUUUGCUUCCCGACGAUUUCCACAAUGUUACAUUUAUGGUGGGAUCACUUAGGGUACAAUUGAUCCCAAUCACAUCACCAACUUGGAAAUUGAAAUUAAGUUCUGUUUUUUGAAGCCAAUUACUUGCUGAAUCUGAAAUUAACAAGAAUGCAUGAUGUAGUCAGUUGGUAAACAGCACAUACUGCAUCUGGAUGCUGGUAGAUAUUACAGUAUACAGGAUCUGAAG